rnacentral:rRNA from 1 species
UACGUAGGUGGCAAGCGUUGUCCGGAUUUACUGGGCGUAAAGGAUGCGUAGGCGGACAUUUAAGUCAGAUGUGAAAUACCCCGAGCUUAACUUGGGUGCUGCAUUUGAAACUGGGUGUCUAGAGUGCAGGAGAGGUAAGUGGAAUUCCUAGUGUAGCGGUGAAAUGCGUAGAGAUUAGGAAGAACACCAGUGGCGAAGGCGACUUACUGGACUGUAACUGACGCUGAGGCAUGAAAGCGUGAGGAGCAAACAGG